GGAGCGGUAGUUCAGUUGGUUAGAAUACCUGCCUGUCAGGCAGGGGGUCGCGGGUUCGAGUCCCGUCCGUUCCGCCA
rnacentral:tRNA from 2 species